rnacentral:rRNA from 1 species
AUGCAUAGCACACAUGUAUGCAUGAACCAGUACAAGCAUGCAUACCAGCUGGAGCUGGAUGUUCCUCGUCGUUUCCUUCAACAUUUUCAGCAUCAACUCCGGUGUCGACUGCAUCAAGUUCAACAUUCAAGUCAAUGCCAAGCAUGCCAUGCCGUCGUCGUCGCCGCCGCCACCGCCGGAUUCCAUGUUCAAGUUAAUACCAAUAUCGACAUGAACGGAAGUUGGCCGAGGCCGGCGUCACCGAGUGGAGGUUGGCUAGCCUGCCACCUAAUGGUUGGUGAUCUUCCAAUGAGUCCCAACCUCGUUCGUCGCGCCAGCCAUGACCGCGUCCAUGACUGGCGUCUCCGCAUCCACGGCUGGCGCCCGUCCACGGCCGGUGUCUCCGCGGCCAGCACCUACGCAUCCACGGCCGGCGUCUCUGCGGCCGGCGCCUCUGCGGCCACGGCCAUGACCGCGUCCACGGCCAGGCUCAGCUUCAGCAUACACAUGCUCAUGAGGUUCAUCCUAUGGUAA